rnacentral:lncRNA from 1 species
AAGGCACAAUAUACUGUACCAUUAACCGAGCCGAUGCAGAUGGUCAUGACGUGUGCAGCCUGUACUCUCAGGGUCCAGACCCAUACACCAGCACACCAGUCCUCUCCAAAACUGACCUCUACAGCAUAGAGCAGGACCUGGAUCAGUGGAGCCUUCAGUCCAGCAACAGUGGAGCAGAUUAUGCAAAACUUCAGUACCCAAGAGGCGAAAAUGCCAAACUGAUGAAGCAGAAGUCUCUAGGACAAACCUCUUCACCAACUUGGUCUGAUGUGUUGUCCCUACAUUCAGUACAAAACAAGGAGGUUCAAAACACAGACAAAAGACACAGCCCUGAGGAAGAUGAAGAGUGGUGUCCUCCACUGCCCGAGCGAUCUUAUCUGAUUGAGGGUCUGGAGGACGUAGCCACUCUGCCUUUGAGAGGAGAGGAAACCAACAGGGCCACGACCUACAGCCUGCAGUCCACAGCAACUCUCACACCCUCCCCCAGCGAGGAGCAGUACCCGCCGAACCUGCACCAUCCAGACCUGCUGCCACGGAAAACACAGUGUGCACACGAUACACAGUUUGCUCUUUCCAACCCAAAGCUGUUAACCAAGACAGAGUCUCUUAAUGGCAGCGUUCCCAACCACAGCGGUCCUUGGAGAGACAUUGCUGAAGUGGAGGAACUGUUCUCCAACAACACAGGCACAAGAGAAUAUACAUCAUUCACGUCCUCAAUUCAGAAGCCCAGGCCUAAGAAGAAAUCUCAAAAGGAUGGCCUUGCGAGACGUGAUGCGCUGAAACCAGGGAACCUGCCUCCUCCACCUGAGCCCCCUCCUGUAACCGAGGACCCACUCAAGCACAUGACAGACACACUGGACAACGGCGGGAGCAGGACGCCCCCACAACACAGAGAGAGAAGAUCAGAACGCAGAACAGCUGCACAGUGGAGCACACAAGGUCAGACUUAAGGG